AGUGAACGCUGGCGGCAGGCCUAAUACAUGCAAGUCGAACGGCAGCACAGCAGAGCUUGCUCUGUGGGUGGCGAGUGGCGGACGGGUGAGGAAUACAUGGGAAUCUGCCCAGUCGUGGGGGAUAACGUAUGGAAACGUACGCUAAUACCGCAUGCGCCCUAAGGGGGAAAGCCGGGGACCGCAAGGCCUGGCGCGAUUGGAUGAGCCCAUGUUCGAUUAGCUAGUUGGCGGGGUAAAGGCCCACCAAGGCGACGAUCGAUAGCUGGUCUGAGAGGAUGAUCAGCCACACUGGAACUGAGACACGGUCCAGACUCCUACGGGAGGCAGCAGUAGGGAAUAUUGGACAAUGGGGGCAACCCUGAUCCAGCCAUGCCGCGUGAGUGAAGAAGGCCCUCGGGUUGUAAAGCUCUUUUGUCCGGAAGAAAGCAAUCGGUUAAUACCCGGUUGUCCUGACGGUACCGGAAGAAUAAGCACCGGCUAACUUCGUGCCAGC
rnacentral:rRNA from 1 species